rnacentral:rRNA from 1 species
GACAGAGGAGCCAAGCGUUGUUCGGAAUUACUGGGCGUAAAGCGCGCGCAGGCGGUUCUUCAAGUCAGAGGUGAAAGCCCAGAGCUCAACUCUGGAAUGGCCUUUGAGACUAGAGAACUAGGGUACGGGAGAGGUGAGUGGAAUUCCCAGUGUAGAGGUGAAAUUCGUAGAUAUUGGGAAGAACACCGGUGGCGAAGGCGGCUCACUGGCUCGUUUCUGACGCUCAGGCGCGACAGCGUGGGGAUCAAACAGG